rnacentral:rRNA from 1 species
AGCUCCAAUAGCGUAUAUUAAAGUUGUUGCAGUUAAAAAGCUCGUAGUUGGAUUUCUGGGAGGGUGCCAAUGUCCGCCGACGUGCGUGCGCAGCGGCGCCCUCUCAUCCUUCUGUUAACGUCUCUCGGCAUUCAUUUGCCGGUGGCGGGCUCAGAUAUUUUACCUUGAGAAAAUUAGAGUGUUUCAGGCAGGCUAGGCCGGAAUACAUUAGCAUGGAAUAAUGGAAUAGGACUUCGGUCUCUUUGUUGGUUUGAGGGACUGCAGUAAUGAUUAAUAGGGAUAGUUGGGGGCAUUCACAUUUCAUUGUCAGAGGUGAAAUUCUUGGAUUUAUGAAAGAUGAACUUCUGCGAAAGCAUUUGCCAAGGAUGUUUUCA